rnacentral:rRNA from 1 species
GUGUCGAUGAAGAGUGCAGCCAACUGUGUGAAUUAAUGUGAACUGCGUACUGCUUUGAACAUCGACAUCUUGAACGCAUAUUGCGGCCGCGGGAUAUCCCGUGGCCACGUCUGGCCGAGGGUCGGCUUAUCAUUUAUCACGACGCUCAAAAAGUCGUGGAUUGGAAGUUGUGCCAGCUGGCGUGAUUUCCCCAUUUCAUGGGGUGCUGUGCAAUGGCUCCUUCCUAAUGUGUCCGGUUACAUCUGGCCUGGGAGUGGGUUCCCGAGGUGAGAUGUGGCGUUGGAUGUUGUACGAGUCGUGGCUCAAUGAUUUGAUCGCGCUCGUGCAUUGUUCAUGUCACGUUUUGCUUUGGUUAUCUAUUUUCUGGCAUGUGGCAAUGUAACUGAUCCCGCCUGCUUAUGCAGCCAAACCCACAAGACCAGACCCGGACACACGCUCGAGCGUGCUGGCUCGUCGCGCGUAAAGGGGUUUU